rnacentral:rRNA from 1 species
CAGAACGAACGCUGGCGGCGUGCCUAACACAUGCAAGUCGAACGUGAUCCGCCCUUCGGGGUGGUGAAAGUGGCGCACGGGUGAGUAACGCGUGGAUAAUCUGCCCGAGGAUUUGGGAUAACAUCUCGAAAGGGGUGCUAAUACCGAAUAAGCCCACGGGGUCUACGGAUCUUGCGGGAAAAGGGGGGGACCUUCGGGCCUCCUGUCCUUGGAUGAGUCUGCGUACCAUUAGCUAGUUGGUGGGGUAAUGGCCUACCAAGGCGACGAUGGUUAGCUGGUCUGAGAGGAUGAUCAGCCACACUGGAACUGAGACACGGUCCAGACUCCUACGGGAGGCAGCAGUGGGGAAUUUUGCGCAAUGGGGGAAACCCUGACGCAGCAACGCCGCGUGGGUGAUGAAGGCCUUCGGGUCGUAAAGCUCUGUCUGGAGGGAAGAAAUGAUUGGGAGCUAAUACCUCUUGAUCUUGACGGUACCUCUGAAGGAAGCACCGGCUAACUCCGUGCCAGCAGCCGCGGUAAUACGGAGGGUGCAAGCGUUGUUCGGAAUUAUUGGGCGUAAAGCGCGUGUAGGCGGUCUUUUAAGUCUGAUGUGAAAGCCCCGGGCUCAACCUGGGAAGUGCAUUGGAAACUGGGAGGCUUGAGUACGGGAGAGGAGAGUGGAAUUCCUAGUGUAGGAGUGAAAUCCGUAGAUAUUAGGAGGAACACCCGGUGGCGAAGGCGGCUCUCUGGACCGAUACUGACCGCUAGACG